AGCUUUGUGCAGUGGCCAGAUCGUAGCCAAGGAGGUUUAUCCGAGGCGCGAUUAUUCCUAACUGAAAACGUUUCUCAAUAGAAUGUAAUCUCCAAAGGCAGGAAUUUUUGUCAGUUUUGUUUACUGCUGUAUCCCUAACUCCUAGAA